ACCAGUGUGGUGUAGUGGUUUGAGUGUUGGACUAGGCCUCCAGGAGACCAGCGUUCAAAUCCCUGCUCAGACA